rnacentral:rRNA from 1 species
GACGAACGCUGGCGGCGUGCUUAACACAUGCAAGUCGAACGGACAGGCCCUGCUUGCAGGGUACUCGAGUGGCGAACGGGUGAGUAACACGUGGGUGAUCUGCCCUGCACUUCGGGAUAAGCCUGGGAAACUGGGUCUAAUACCGGCUAGGAGCCAUUUUUAGUGUGAUGGAUGGAAAGUUUUUUCGGUGUUGGAUGAGCUCGCGGGCUAUCAGCUUGUUGGGGGGGUAAUGGGCUACCGAGGCGGCGACGGGUAGCCGGCCUGAGAGGGUGGACGGCCACACUGAGACUGAGAGACGGCCGAGAUACCGACGGGAGCGAGCAGGGGGGAAGAUUGCACGAGCGGCGCAAGCCUGAUGCAGCGAGGCCGCGGGGGGGAUGACUGUCUUCGUGGUGUAAACUCCUUGCGCUAGGGACGAAGCUUGUUGUGAUGGUACCUAGAUAAGAAGCACCGGCUAACUACGUG